rnacentral:rRNA from 1 species
UGGGGAAUAUUGCACAAUGGGCGAAAGCCUGAUGCAGCAACGCCGCGUGAGUGAUGAAGGUCUUCGGAUUGUAAAGCUCUGUCUUUUGGGACGAUAAUGACGGUACCAAAGGAGGAAGCCACGGCUAACUACGUGCCAGCAGCCGCGGUAAUACGUAGGUGGCGAGCGUUGUCCGGAUUUACUGGGCGUAAAGGGUGCGUAGGCGGAUGUUUAAGUGAGAUGUGAAAUACCCGGGCUUAACUUGGGUGCUGCAUUUCAAACUGGAUAUCUAGAGUGCAGGAGAGGAGAAUGGAAUUCCUAGUGUAGCGGUGAAAUGCGUAGAGAUUAGGAAGAACACCAGUGGCGAAGGCGAUUCUCUGGACUGUAACUGACGCUGAGGCACGAAAGCGUGGGUAGCAAACAGGAUUAGAUAC